rnacentral:lncRNA from 1 species
CAUCUGUGAAGUCCCGUUUGUGCAAUAAAUACAACACAGUUGAGGGUUGCAAGUUCGGUGAUAAAUGCCAUUUUGCCCAUGGUGAGUGGGAGCUUGGGAAGGCUUCUGCUGCUUCAUAUGAUGAUCCUCGUGCCAUGGGGCCAAUGCAGGGCAGGGCUGCUGCUCCAUAUGAUGAUCCUCGUGCCAUGGGGCCAAUGCAGGGCAGGAUGAGUCGGCACAUGGAGCAUCCACACCAAGGUCAUGGUGCUGCAGCAAGCUUUGGGUCAUCCGCUACUACUAAG